rnacentral:rRNA from 1 species
UACGAGGGGGGCAAGUGUUGUUCGGAAUUAUUGGGCGUAAAGGGCGCGUAGGCGGUGCGGUAAGUCACCUGUGAAACCUCUGGGCUUAACUCAGAGCCUGCAGGCGAAACUACCGUGCUGGAGUGUGGGAGAGGUGCGUGGAAUUCCCGGUGUAGCGGUGAAAUGCGUAGAGAUGUGGAGGAAUACCGAUGGCGAAGGCAGCCUCCUGGGCCAACACUGACGCUCAUGCACGAAAGCGUGGGGAGCAAACAGG